GCGGAGGAUCAUUUUUUCCCAAAUCCGUCCGAGCUGGUCGCGGACCCGCCGGCGGUUUCGUCCCCGGCUUGAAGCUUGGAGCCGAGGUCGGCGAUGAGGCAGGUGGACAUAAAGCACCCCCUGGUGACAUCGAGACACAGCCAACCCCUCGUCCACUCUGCCAGUCCCCUGAAAGUGUCUUCUGUGCGGCUGCAUUUGCAAGAAACAUCAAAGGAAAGAAAAAAGAUGAAGGGAGAUUUGACGCCACCCCCACAGCAAAACUAUUCCACCACAAGAGGCGGACAGAUCCACCGCUCAGCAAGGCCUUGCGGCUCGACAUGACAGACCCCCCCGAACCCCCCACCCCCCCCAAAAAAAAAAAAAAAAAAAAGAA